rnacentral:rRNA from 1 species
GACGAACGCUGGCGGCGUGCCUAAUACAUGCAAGUCGACAACGCGGACGGGUGAGUAACACGUGGGUAACCUGCCUGUAAGACCGGGAUAACUCCGGGAAACCGGUGCUAAUACCGGAUAAUUACAGGUGGGCCAGCGGCGCAUUAGCUAGUGGGUGCGGUAACGGCUAACCAAGGCGACGAUGCGUAGCCGACCUGAGAGGGGGAUCGGCCACACUGGGACUGAGACACGGCCAAGACUCCUACGGGAGGCAGCAGUAGGGAAUCUUCCGCAAUGGACGAAAGUCUGACGGAGCAACGCCGCGUGAGUGAAGAAGGUCUUCGGAUCGUAAAGCUCUGUUGUUAGGGAAGCGGUACCUGACGAGAAAGCCACGGCUAACUACGUGCCAGCAGCCGCGGUAAUAC